CGGGUGAGUAACGCGUGAGGAACUUGCCUCAAAGAGGGGGACAACAGUUGGAAACGACUGCUAAUACCGCAUAAGCCCACGGCUCGGCAUCGAGCAGAGGGAAAAGGAGUGAUCCGCUUUGAGAUGGCCUCGCGUCCGAUUAGCUAGUUGGUGAGGUAACGGCCCACCAAGGCGACGAUCGGUAGCCGGACUGAGAGGUUGAACGGCCACAUUGGGACUGAGACACGGCCCAG
rnacentral:rRNA from 1 species